rnacentral:rRNA from 2 species
GUCGGUGGUUGUUAGCGUGAGGGAAACGCCCGGUCCCAUUCCGAACCCGGAAGCUAAGCCUUGCUGCGCCGAUGGUACUGCACCUGGGAGGGUGUGGGAGAGUAGGUCACUGCCGGCC